GUCCGACGGUACAGGGUGAUAGUCCCGUACACCAAAAUGCACAGGCUGUGAACUCGAAGAGUAGGGCGGGACACGUGGUAUCCUGUCUGAAUAUGGGGGGACCAUCCUCCAAGGCUAAAUACUCCUGACUGACCGAUAGUGAACCAGUACCGUGAGGGAAAGGCGAAAAGAACCCCGGCGAGGGGAGUGAAAAAGAACCUGAAACCGUGUACGUACAAGCAGUGGGAGCACCUUCGGGUGUGACUGCGUACCUUUGUAUAAUGGGUCAGCGACUUAUAUUCUGUAGCAAGGUUAACCGUAUAGGGGAGCCGCAGGGAAACCGAGUCUUAACUGGGCGUUAAGUUGCAGGGUAUAGACCCGAAACC
rnacentral:rRNA from 1 species